GAUGAACGCUGGCGGCGUGCCUAAUACAUGCAAGUCGAGCGAACAGAUAAGGAGCUUGCUCCUUUGACGUUAGCGGCGGACGGGUGAGUAACCCGUGGGUAACCUACCUAUAAGACUGGGAUAACUUCGGGAAACCGGAGCUAAUACCGGAUAACAUUUGGAACCGCAUGGUUCUAAAGUGAAAGAUGGUUUUGCUAUCACUUAUAGAUGGACCCGCGCCGUAUUAGCUAGUUGGUAAGGUAACGGCUUACCAAGGCAACGAUACGUAGCCGACCUGAGAGGGUGAUCGGCCACACUGGAACUGAGACACGGUCCAGACGCCUACGGGAGGCAGCAGUAGGGAAUCUUCCGCAAUGGGCGAAAGCCUGACGGAGCAACGCCGCGUGAGUGAUGAAGGGUUUCGGCUCGUAAAACUCGGUUAUUAGGGAAGAACAAACGUGUAAGUAACUGUGCACGUCUUGACGGUACCUAAUCAGAAAGCCACGGCUAACUACGUG
rnacentral:rRNA from 1 species